rnacentral:rRNA from 1 species
UGGGGAAUAUUGCACAAUGGGCGAAAGCCUGAUGCAGCGACGCCGCGUGCGGGAUGAAGGCCUUCGGGUUGUAAACCGCUUUUGAUUGGGAGCAAGCGAGAGUGAGUGUACCUUUCGAAUAAGCACCGGCUAACUACGUGCCAGCAGCCGCGGUAAUACGUAGGGUGCAAGCGUUAUCCGGAAUUAUUGGGCGUAAAGAGCUCGUAGGCGGUUUGUCGCGUCUGGUGUGAAAGUCCAUCGCUUAACGGUGGAUCUGCGCCGGGUACGGGCAGGCUAGAGUGCGACAGGGGAGACUGGAAUUCCCGGUGUAACGGUGGAAUGUGUAGAUAUCGGGAAGAACACCAAUGGCGAAGGCAGGUCUCUGGGUCGUCACUGACGCUGAGGAGCGAAAGCGUGGGGAGCGAACAGGAUUAGAUACCCUGGUAGUCCACGCCGUAAACGGUGGAUGCUGGAUGUGGGGCCCAUUCCACGGGUUCCGUGUCGGAGCUAACGCGUUAAGCAUCCCGCCUGGGGAGUACGGCCGCAAGGCUAAAAC